rnacentral:rRNA from 1 species
UUUAUGGAGAGUUUGAUCAUGGCUCAGGAUGAACGCUGGCGGCGUGCCUAAUACAUGCAAGUCGAGCGAACAGAUAAGGAG